AAGGAAAUUAGAAUUAAGAGUGGCUGCUAACUAACUUUUAAAGCGGUUAAAUUCCGUUUUUUCCUUA
rnacentral:tRNA from 1 species